rnacentral:rRNA from 1 species
GGCUCAUUAUAACAGUUAUAGUUUAUUUGAUGGUUUUUUUUCUGUGGAUAACCGUGGUAAUUCUAGAGCUAAUACAUGCCAAUAUCCCUGCCGCUUGCGUGCGGGGAGCAUUUAUUARAUACCAGAAUCAUCGGCCUUCGGGUCUGCAUGAGGACUCAUAAUAACUGAAGAGAUCGAGCUCAGCUCGGCGUAUCAUUCAAGUUUCUGACCUAUCARUUAKUCGGUAGUGUAUUGGACUACCGACGCAUUGACGGGUAACGGAGAAUUAGGGUUCGAUUCCGGAGAGGGAGCCUGAGAAACGGCUACCACAUCUAAGGAAGGCAGCAGGCGCGUAAAUUACCCAAUCCUGACUCAGGGAGGUAGUGACAAGAAAUCACAAUAUUUGGCUCGUUUGGGUUAAAUAAUUGUAUUGAGAACAGGCUAAACAUGUUUACGAUAAACCAUUGGAGGGCAAGUCUGGUGCCAGCAGCCGCGGUAAUUCCAGCUCCAAUAGCGUAUACUAACGUUGUUGCAGUUAAAAAGCUCGUASUUGGAUUUUUAAGGGCGGCUUUCACUAGGGACCUUUCGUGUCUCUAAUGUGGCAGACGCUCCUUAUUUUGCCUCAGAGCCUGGUUGGGAUUCAUUUCUUGAUCAAGCUUCCGGGGCGUGUUUACUUUGAGAAAAUUAGAGUGUUCAAAACA